CCAAUCUCAGAAAGUACUAAAAAAAUUAUAUGAAACUAAGUUGAAUGCAGUGGUUUAGCUACUUGGAAAUUGUAAUUUUCAUCUGUAUAAACUAGAUAGAGUAAUGGUGUUGGCUUUCUUUACUUAGGGGUCUGAAUUGCAAAUACUCAUCAUGGCACUAAGACUCUCAUCCGUUGUCUCCUCCACAGUGGUCCGUAGGCGACUCCCUCUGGUUGGUGCCUUUUGUGUUCUUAGUUUUGGCCUCUCCAAUCUCUGUGCCGUUUCUCUAUCUUCGAGAACAGGGUGUGCUCAGUCUCUCCCUUUUUCCCCUCUCUUCCGGACGAAAUUUGGUAGUCAGUCUGAGAGUAAGAAAUUUCAUACUGUAAGGAUGGAAGCAAGUAAGACGACUGUACCCAGCAUUGUUGUCUAUGUUACAGUUCCAAACAAGGAAGCAGG